GUGGUCGGUUUGAGUUGUGGUGCUCAGUUUAAUGACAUAACGGUCGACUUUAGAUUGAGGUACUCAGUUUAAUGACAUGGCAGUCGAUUUUAUAUUGAGUUGCUCAGUUUAAUGACAUGGUGGUCGGUUUAAGUUUUGGUACUCAGUUUAGUGACAUGGCAGUCAGCUUGAAGUUGAGUUGCUCAGUUUAACGACAUGGCGGUUGGUUUGAAGUUGAGAUACUCAGUUUAGCGACAUGACGGUCGGCUUGAAAUUGAGAUGCUCAGUUUAGUGACAUGGCAGUCAAUUGAAGUUGAGAUGCUCAGUUUAGCGACAUGGCGGUCGAUCGAAGUUGAGAUGCUUAGUUUAGCGACAUGGCGGUUGGUUUGAGUUAAGUUGCUCAGUUUAACGACGUGGUGGUCGGCUUGAGUUUAGUUUAACGACUUAGCUGUCGUUUGAAUUUGAGUUGUUUACUUUAACGACUUUGCGGUCGUAUGAGUUUAGUUUAACGACUUUGCGGUCGUUUGAAUUUGGAAUUAGUUUAACGACAUUACGGUCGUUUGAAUUUGGGAUUAGUUUAACGACUUUACGGUUGUUUGAUUUGACUAGUUUAGCGACUUUGCAGUCAUUUGAAUUUGGAUUUAGUUUAACGACUUUACGGUCGUUUGGAUUUUAUUUGUGGACUUUGGGUUUUGGGUUUGAUUUGUGGACUUCGGAUUUUGGUUUUUUAUUUGUGGACUUUGGGUUUUAGGUUUAGUUGUGGACUUUGAGUUUUGGGUUGG
rnacentral:lncRNA from 1 species